UGUUGAAUCAUCCAAUCUGGAACUUCAAAAAUUGGUGUCAUCAAAACUUGUGAUUGACCAAUAUUGACUAAAUCAUCUACCAAUUUUGUCACCUCAACAUUUAAUGCAUCAAUUUCAGCCCUCAAUCGCUCCAUUUCACAUAUGUAUUGGUCACUCAAUACUGCUUUCUCUUGCACCAAGAACUCUGCCUUUUUUGUUCUGCUUACAACUGACACUUGACUAGCUUCUAUUCCAAAUCCCAUGUUUGGCGAUUCUAGAGCAAUUUGUCCUAUUAACCUUCUAUGAUCUUAAAGAUGUGUUCUUUUUCUUUCGUCUAAGCUUACUAUUUCUGUAAAAACCUCCAUUCCAAUAUCAACUUAGACUCUUCAUUUA
rnacentral:lncRNA from 1 species